CAGAAGGCAGCUGGGUGGCAGGCUUCUCCGCGGAUCGUGCAGGGCACGCCAGCCCCUUCCAGGAAGGCUGAACACUGGGUGGGUACCUGUGGCCAUGCUGGGCCAGCAGGUGUUCCAUGAAAAUUGAGGGGGAACAGGCCCAGGGUUCUCCAGACGGCCAUACUCUGGGCCCUUGCUUUUGGUGACAUAAGCAACUCCCCCUUGCCCCAGAAUAAUAAAGGGUACAGGAAAAAUAUAUUUUCACCUGCCAACUGACCUUUUUCCUUUAAUUAGAUGAUUACCUGAUGUGAAGGGCAAAUAGUUUAAUGGGUUCUUUGGGAUAUAGUGCUGGUCUCCCUAAUUUGAGUGAUUUAGAAGAACAAACAAACAUUGAUGAGGCAAUCCUUUUAUUUUGCAGUGAGCAGAGUUCAAGAAACAUGGAGAAGUCUGGAAUUCAAUAUUAACUUAAAACUGCCUUUCCAUGCUCCCUUAUCUCUGCUCACCACAAAAUAAAAGGAUCACCUUAUCCAUGUCUGUAGAAGAGGCUAAACUGUAUAGAAUGAGGGUAAAAAUGGGAGAAAGAUUUAUUAGGUAAAGGCAAAGAAAUCAGAUCUUUGUGUGGGGGAGGUCUGGGUAAGAUAAAACCAAGAGAAAACUCAACCUUUUUGAGGUUCUGGAGGGUUAGUCUCUGGUAGAGGAUGGGUUCUUGACAGCCUGAACAGGAGGGCACCUUGCAGAAAUCUCUAGUCCUCGGCCGAUUAGCAUAGUCAGCUCCCCCACCCCGAAGAGACAUAGCCGGAGUUUCUGUUGCUUUGACCACCCGGAGGGGAAGAAGUUUGGGUUGCUGCAGUAGGCACUGUCAACAUGGUACCCACAACCCCCCCAAGGCCCUGUCCUCAGAUGUGCCGUGGGCUGCCCUGCUGGCUCCUGCGUGCCUCGGCCUGAAGAUCCUUGGGAAAUGCUGGGAAGUUAACCACCCUCAACCAAUUUCAGGUGGAGUUUGAUGGCUAGAUGACCCUUCAGGACGCAUCUGAGGCAGGUUCUGCAUCGCCUCCCAGAGGCCCCGGUGGGACUGACCCCCACUGCCCUCAACGGCGUUCUGCUCAACAUGCCCAUUCUGGCUUCCUUCCUUUCCCUCUCUUACUCCCCCACUUCCUUGUUGGUACUUCUGGAAUCAUCUCCCUAUAACCACUUGCACGUGAAUCCUUGUUUCAAGAUCUGCUUCCAGGGGAGACCAAACUUAAGAUACUUGAGACCUCACUUCUGCCUUCAUCUUGGGCCUGGAGUUGGUCUCUCAGAGGUCACCCAGUGGCUGAAUGGCCCAUCCCAGUGUCCUCUUCGCCCAUGUGUUCCUUGAGAAUCUCCACCAUUAGCACAUCUUUCUGUACUAGUUAGAGUUUCGGGUAGCAAGGAAGCGAUGGAGCCAGGCAACUGUGUAACGAGGGGCAUGAAGACUAAGCAACAGCUGAGCGGUCACUGACCCCUCACGUCCUGGAACUAGAGCUGGCCUCACAUGGGUCCAGAAUGAAGGCUCUCGUUCUCUCCGGCCCCAACCCCAAGGCCGGAGACUUGGUCUUUUCCCAUCAGAAAGGAGCUCCCAGCUGCUCUGAGUGCAGUUCACAUUCCUGUCUCCAAGCAGGGGAAUCUGGUUGGAUCUGGGAGGUGCCUCCAGCCGGGAGAAGGCCCCUUGGUCAGGCUCUGGAUCCAAACCACUGAAAGGCGUCAGCCUACAGGGGUGCUUUAGGCUUGGGCACGCAGGACCCAGGGGCACACAGCACAGACCCAGGGAGUGACAACUGCACCCACGAAGAGCUGCUCUCACUCCUCCAGAGGCUGUGCAGGUGGAGGUGCUUAGAGCCUCGUGGCCUAAACAUAUUCUACUCUGAAUUUCACCCUGCCUUACUGUACCCUGAAUCCCACCUCAUUCUCUACCUCUCCUGUAGGUUGAGAUGGCCACUGUCCCACGUUCUAGUCUGGUGGAAUCAGGGUCUUUCUUCCCUCUAGUAAGAGGCAAUGAUGUCCCUCCAGCCUCCAGUGCACUCUGGGACAUCAAGCAGCUGCUCCUAGAGCCAUUAGGUGACUCGGCUGCACUUUCUAAAGUCCACCUACCCCGAAGCAAAUCCCAGAGAAGCAAUACUUUAAUUCCUGGUGUCAAAGGUCUUGCAGGACCACGGGGUACCCAUGAGAAGGCUGCUCCAAGUCAGGGAGACCGGGUUUCACUGUAAUGAGCUGUCGGGUAGAGGUUGGAGUUGGAAAUGAAGAGUCUCUAAGCCAGUAGACUCCAGAGCCAAAAGUGUUGUCCAUGAAUCCUCCCCAUGUUUCUUGAGAACCUUUUGCACAGAAGGAAACAGAUGGAGGACAGAAUACAGCUCCACAGAGGGAUGGCGCUCAAAGCAGAAAACGCCAAAGGGAGUAGCCACUGUCAACCUGGCAGGGAGGGCUGGCAGUGCUGGGCAGUCUCCUGGGUUGCUGACUCCCUGAUGGCAGAUUUAUGUGCAGAGCCAGAAGAAGUCUUAGCAUUAUUUUGCACCAGCUCCCUCUCCAAAUUUUCCAGAUGAGGAACCUCAGAUCCAGAGAGGGAAAGAAUUUGCCACAGAUCGCACAGCAGAUCUUCCCGCUCCCAUUUCAACACUCUUUCCACAAAGAUACCCUGCUGGAGAGAUGGAGCAAGUGCUAAACUUACCUAUUUUUAAACUUAAGACCACCUGACUUCAAUAAAUAUUUUAAGACACAAACUACAAGAAGCCUGUUCCAGAAAUCAGAAGAUGGCUUGUGCCCAUGUGCAACCUUGGACAAAUUGGUUAUUUAAGCUCUCUGAGCCUCUGUUUCCCCACUGGCUAAAAAACAUUAUAAUAAAGGAUAUACCUGUCCUCCCUAAUCCAAAGGGAGUCACAAGGAAGUAAUUAAUGCACUGAACCAUUUGGAAAUGGUGGAGCUGAACUCAUGGUGGGAAUGCCAUCACACACAUCUUUUCAUGGUAAAGGACCUCAGUAAGGCGAGGGAGGUGGUGAGUCAAACAUUCAGAGAAUGAGCAACGAUGGGAGGUGAAAGGCAUUGGGGUAGAACAGGAGGAAGCCAGAGGGACAGCCCCAGGUGAGGCUCUGAGGUGAGUUGGGGAAUCAAGGGAAAGAACUAGAAAGCCAUCCAAUGGAGACUUUCUUGGCAAUGGAAUUAUUCCACGUCUGUACUCUAAUAUGAUAGCCACCAGUCAUAUGUGGUUGUUGGUGCUUGAAGUGUGGCUAGUGUGACUGAGGAACUAGUUUUUAAAUUUUUAUCUAAUUUUUAUUAAUUUAAAUUGAAAUAACCACAUGUGGCCAGUGGGUACCCUACUAGACAGCACAGGCCUAAGACGACCCCACACGUUGCUUUGCAGCUGUCAAAGGAAAAGUAUGUGUCAUCCCUUCUCACCUCCCUUUAAAAUGCUAAUUAGCAUCACUGCGGUUAAUUACCAUUCAUAGCUCUUCAGCUGCUCUUAUGAAACGUUCAGUUCACCCUGGAACAAAUAGCCACAGUGGCAAGGGCUGGGGAAUGGGGUGGACUGGGGAAAGUAUAUUUAUCCCUUUGCACACUCUUUCUCUUCUCAAUCUGAAUGCUUCAGGCUGGAUAAAAUCCUAUAAAUAAAAAAGAGAGGCUUUUAAAAAA